AUUGAACGCUGGCGGCAGGCCUACACAUGCAAGUCGAGCGGAUGAGGGGAGCUUGCUCCCUGAUUUAGCGGCGGACGGGUGAGUAAUGCGUAGGAAGCUGCCCGAUAGAGGGGGAUACCAGUUGGAAACGACUGUUAAUACCGCAUAAUGCCUACGGACCAAAGUGUGGGACCUUCGGGCCACAUGCUAUCGGAUGCGCCUACGUGGGAUUAGCUAGUUGGUGAGGUAAUGGCUCACCAAGGCGACGAUCUCUAGCUGGUUUGAGAGGAUGAUCAGCCACACUGGAACUGAGACACGGUCCAGACUCCUACGGGAGGCAGCAGUGGGGAAUAUUGGACAAUGGGCGCAAGCCUGAUCCAGCCAUGCCGCGUGUGUGAAGAAGGCCUUCGGGUUGUAAAGCACUUUCAGCGAGGAGGAAGGGUGGUGUUUUAAUAGAGCAUCAUUUUGACGUUACUCGCAGAAGAAGCACCGGCUAACUCUGUGCCAGCCGCCGCCGUAAUAC
rnacentral:rRNA from 1 species